GGGUGGAUUAGUGGCGAACGGGUGAGUAACACGUGAGUAACCUGCCCUUAACUCUGGGAUAAGCCUGGGAAACUGGGUCUAAUACCGGAUAGGAGCGUCCACCGCAUGGUGGGUGUUGGAAAGAUUUAUCGGUUUUGGAUGGACUCGCGGCCUAUCAGCUUGUUGGUGAGGUAAUGGCUCACCAAGGCGACGACGGGUAGCCGGCCUGAGAGGGUGACCGGCCACACUGGGACUGAGACACGGCCCAGACUCCUACGGGAGGCAGCAGUGGGGAAUAUUGCACAAUGGGCGCAAGCCUGAUGCAGCGACGCCGCGUGAGGGAUGACGGCCUUCGGGUUGUAAACCUCUUUCAGUAGGGAAGAAGCGAAAGUGACGGUACCUGCAGAAGAAGCACCGGCUAACUACGUGCCAGCAGCCGCGGUAAUACGUAGGGUGCGAGCGUUAUCCGGAAUUAUUGGGCGUAAAGAGCUCGUAGGCGGUUUGUCGCGUCUGUCGUGAAAGUCCGGGGCUUAACCCCGGAUCUGCGGUGGGUACGGGCAGACUAGAGUGCAGUAGGGGAGACUGGAAUUCCUGGUGUAGCGGUGGAAUGCGCAGAUAUCAGGAGGAACACCGAUGGCGAAGGCAGGUCUCUGGGCUGUAACUGACGCUGAGGAGCGAAAGCAUGGGGAGCGAACAGGAUUAGAUACCCUGGUAGUCCAUGCCGUAAACGUUGGGCACUAGGUGUGGGGACCAUUCCACGGUUUCCGCGCCGCAGCUAACGCAUUAAGUGCCCCGCCUGGGGAGUACGGCCGCAAGGCUAAAACUCAAAGGAAUUGACGGGGGCCCGCACAAGCGGCGGAGCAUGCGGAUUAAUUCGAUGCACGCGAAGAACCUUACCAAGGCUUGACAUGUUCUCGAUCGCCGUAGAGAUACGGUUUCCCCUUUGGGGCGGGUUCACAGGUGGUGCAUGGUUGUCGUCAGCUCGUGUCGUGAGAUGUUGGGUUAAGUCCCGCAACAAGCGCAACCCUCGUUCCAUGUUGCCAGCACGUAUGGUGGGGACUCAUGGGA
rnacentral:rRNA from 1 species